rnacentral:rRNA from 1 species
GUUGGGUAGGGGAGCGUUCUGUAAGCCUGUGAAGGUGGCCUGUGAGGGUUGCUGGAGGUAUCAGAAGUGCGAAUGCUGACAUAAGUAACGAUAAAGCGGGUGAAAAGCCCGCUCGCCGGAAGACCAAGGGUUCCUGUCCAACGUUAAUCGGGGCAGGGUGAGUCGACCCCUAAGGCGAGGCCGAAAGGCGUAGUCGAUGGGAAACGGGUUAAUAUUCCCGUACUUGGUGUUACUGCGAAGGGGGGACGGAGAAGGCUAUGUUGGCCGGGCGACGGUUGUCCCGGUUUAAGCGUGUAGGUGUGUGUUCCAGGUAAAUCCGGUUCACUUUAACACUGAGGCGUGAUGACGAGGCACUACGGUGCUGAAGCAACAAAUGCCCUGCUUCCAGGAAAAGCCUCUAAGCAUCAGGUAACAUCAAAUCGUACCCCAAACCGACACAGGUGGUCAGGUAGAGAAUACCAAGGCGCUUGAGAGAACUCGGGUGAAGGAACUAGGCAAAAUGGUGCCGUAACUUCGGGAGAAGGCACGCUGACACGUAGGUGAAGUGAUUUACUCAUGGAGCUGAAGUCAGUCGAAGAUACCAGCUGGCUGCAACUGUUUAUUAAAAACACAGCACUGUGCAAACACGAAAGUGGACGUAUACGGUGUGACGCCUGCCCGGUGCCGGAAGGUUAAUUGAUGGGGUCAGCGCAAGCGAAGCUCCUGAUCGAAGCCCCGGUAAACGGCGGCCGUAACUAUAACGGUCCUAAGGUAGCGAAAUUCCUUGUCGGGUAAGUUCCGACCUGCACGAAUGGCGUAAUGAUGGCCAGGCUGUCUCCACCCGAGACUCAGUGAAAUUGAACUCGCUGUGAAGAUGCAGUGUACCCGCGGCAAGACGGAAAGACCCCGUGAACCUUUACUAUAGCUUGACACUGAACAUUGAGCCUUGAUGUGUAGGAUAGGUGGGAGGCUUUGAAGUGUGGACGCCAGUCUGCAUGGAGCCGACCUUGAAAUACCACCCUUUAAUGUUUGAUGUUCUAACGUGGACCCGUAAUCCGGGUUGCGGACAGUGUCUGGUGGGUAGUUUGACUGGGGCGGUCUCCUCCUAAAGAGUAACGGAGGAGCACGAAGGUUGGCUAAUCCUGGUCGGACAUCAGGAGGUUAGUGCAAUGGCAUAAGCCAGCUUGACUGCGAGCGUGACGGCGCGAGCAGGUGCGAAAGCAGGUCAUAGUGAUCCGGUGGUUCUGAAUGGAAGGGCCAUCGCUCAACGGAUAAAAGGUACUCCGGGGAUAACAGGCUGAUACCGCCCAAGAGUUCAUAUCGACGGCGGUGUUUGGCACCUCGAUGUCGGCUCAUCACAUCCUGGGGCUGAAGUAGGUCCCAAGGGUAUGGCUGUUCGCCAUUUAAAGUGGUACGCGAGCUGGGUUUAGAACGUCGUGAGACAGUUCGGUCCCUAUCUGCCGUGGGCGCUGGAGAACUGAGGGGGGCUGCUCCUAGUACGAGAGGACCGGAGUGGACGCAUCACUGGUGUUCGGGUUGUCAUGCCAAUGGCACUGCCCGGUAGCUAAAUGCGGAAGAGAUAAGUGCUGAAAGCAUCUAAGCACGAAACUUGCCCCGAGAUGAGUUCUCCCUGAGACUUUAGGUCUCCUGAAGGAACGUUGAAGACGACGACGUUGAUAGGCCGGGUGUGUAAGCGCAGCGAUGCGUUGAGCUAACCGGUACUAAUG